rnacentral:rRNA from 1 species
AUGCGGAUCUCGAAAGCCUGUCCCAGUUCGGACUGGAGUCUGNAACCCGACUCCACGAAGUUGGAUUCGCUAGUAAUCGCGCAUCAGCCAUGGCGCGGUGAAUACGUUCCCGGGCCUUGUACACACCGCCCGUCAAGCCAUGGGAGCCGGGGGCGCCUGAAGUCCGGGACCGCGAGGACCGGCCUAGGGCGAAACUGGUAACUGGGGCUAAGUCGUAACAAGGUAAC